GGGACCCGACCCGACCCGUUACUAUAUAAAGGCUUAAAGCUAAAUCCCUAAAUCCCUUCGGCCUUCCUCUCUUUUCGAUCCCGUAUUUCCGUGUGGCCGACGGCCGUGCCCUAGAUCUCGAUCGCCUUCCAGCCUUCCUCUCCUUUUCGAUCCCGUGCGGCUGUGCCCACUGCCCAGCAGCCCAGGUGCCCUGGAUCUUGAGCGCCUUCCUCUCUUUUUCGAUCCCGUGCGAUCGUGCCCAGGUGCCCCGUGCCCUAGAUCUUGAGCUGCGGCGGCGGAGAAGAGUAGACCGCUUCCGUGUGGCCGUGCCCGACUUCCGGCUCUCCAGUCUCCAGUCCGCGGAUCUCCCCCUUGGCCUCUCCCCAUUCUUCAGCGUCCCAAGGACCUUGCUGUACGCCUGUACCAGAUCUUGAGCUGCGGCGGCGGAGAAGAGAAGACAGCUUCUGUGCCCGGUGCGGCGGUGCCCUA